AUACGUAGGGGGCGAGCGUUGUCCGGAAUGAUUGGGCGUAAAGGGCGCGUAGGCGGCGCGGUAAGUCUGGAGUGAAAGCCCUGCUUUCAAGGUGGGAAUUGCUUUGGAUACUGCCGCGCUUGAGUGCAGGAGAGGUUAUCGGAAUUCCCGGUGUAGCGGUGAAAUGCGUAGAGAUCGGGAGGAACACCAGUGGCGAAGGCGGGUAACUGGACUGCAACUGACGCUGAGGCGCGAAAGUGUGGGGAGCAAACAGGAUUAGAUACCCUGGUAGUCCACACUGUAAACGAUGAAUGCUAGGUGUUAGAGGUAUCGACCCCUUUUGUGCCGGAGUCAACACAAUAAGCAUUCCGCCUGGGGAGUACGGCCGCAAGGUUGAAACUCAAAUGAAUUGACGGGG
rnacentral:rRNA from 1 species